GACAGAGGCCUCAAGCGUUAGGCGGAAUCACUGGGCUUAAAGCGUGUGUAGGCGGAUCGUUAAGUGCCUUGUGAAAUCCCACGGCUUAACUGUGGAACGGCUGGGCAUACUGGCGGUCUUGAGCCAUCUAGGGGCGACUGGAACAAACGGUGGAGCGGUGAGAUGCGUAGAUAUCACUUGGAACGCCAAUGGUGAAAACAGACUGCUGGGGGUGUGCUGACGCUGAGACACGAAAGCCAGGGGAGCAAACGGG
rnacentral:rRNA from 1 species